GGGACGGCGAGGGGGCGCCCGCGCCACCCCGGCCCCCUCCGUCUCGGCCGAACCCCCCACAGCCCCACUUUGCCCGGAAUCCCAGGCGGCUUCACUGGCACCGCGGCGGUAGGCCCGGGAUAAACGUGGCACCUGGCACCGCACCUGACGGCAGUUUUGGAAAAAAUCGUCAUGUUUUUUUCUAUGUUUUCCAUGGAAGGAAACACGAGGAUGUUAUGGACUAGAACGCGGUAAACUCCCGGGGUUUUUAAGACUAAAGGAGAGAUGCAUUGAAGAUAUUUCUGGCUCCCUGGCUGCCUCUGGGGAGUGAGGGCAGAUACAGUUUCCUUCUGGGAACGACUACUGAGACCACCCUUGAGCUGGAGGAAUAGGCCUCUUCUCCACAAGUGGCAAAGACAGAGACUCUUGAAAGCAGCAACAGAGAGGUGACUCAUUCUAUACAACGAAUCGUUAGUAUGAGUCUCGGCUGAUUUCUCAUCAGAAACCACGGCGGCCAGAGGGCAGUAGGAUGGCAUAUUUAAAAUGAUGAAAGAAUAAAAAAACUGUCAAGAAAGAAUUCUAUAUCUGGCAUAACUAUCCCUCACAAAGGAAGGAGAAAUGAAGACAUUCCCACGUAAACAAAAGCUGAGAGAGUUUGUCACUAGUUGACCUGCCCUAUAAGAAAUGCUAAAGAUUAAAAGACAUUGAACAACAACAAAACAAACAACCCAUUUCAAAAGUGGGCAUAGGCAGGAGUUUGAUGGCACUACUGUACACCAGCCUGGGUGACAGAGUGAGACUGUGUCUCCAAAACAAACAAACAAACAUAGGCAUAGGACUGAAAUAGACAUUUCUCCAAAAAAGAUAUACAAAGCGACCAAAGGCACAUGAAAAGAUGCUCAACAUCAUUCAUCAUUAGGAUAAUGCAAAUCAAAACCACAAUGAGAUACCACUGCACACCCAUUAGGAUGGCUAUUACAAAACAAAACAAAACAAAACAAAACAGAAAAUAAGUAUUGGUAAAGAUGUGGAGAAAAUGGAACCCUUAUGCACUGCUGGUGGGAAUGUGAAAUAAUACAAAUGUUGUGAAAAACACUAUGGCAGUUCCUAAAAAAAUUAAAAUGAGAAUUACCAUAUGACCCAG
rnacentral:lncRNA from 1 species